rnacentral:lncRNA from 1 species
GGAUCUUGUCUUGAGUUUUAUCUAUUUAAUAAGAAAUCUGUUUACUAAGAAACCAGGACCUUGACAGAGAUCCAGAAAUGAUUAUAGAAUUCUCAGCUUGGGGCUGCCAGUAUCCUCAAUGAGUAGCAGCUAAUGCUCCCAAAAUGCCCGUGGCCAUAACGCCACUUUUUUUAAAGCAUGAAAACCUUUCCUUUCAGUUUGACCAAUGCCUAUUGCACGUUUUAAAAAUAUACUUUCAUAAACAUAAUUCUGGAAAAGCUAGAGUGAUGGACAUGAAGGUCUGAGUAAAAUAAAUUAGGUGUCAUAUAUUACUCUGUUAACACAGAGUAAGAAUUUUUUCUUGCACUGCAUCUUUUUGAAGGAUCACAAAUUUCUGUGCUGCUGUCACUACAGAGCCACUAUGCAAGCUUUCUGAGAAAUUAUAAAGGACACACAAAAAGCCUUUGAAGAUGAAAGAAGGGAAAUGCUGUCCCUAUCACAGGAAAUUAGAGACUGCUGGAAUUAUAAGGGUACCAGAGCAAAUGAUCAAACAAGCCAUUAUAAUACUGUAUAGGUAGCAGUGAACAUAGCUUUUAGGAGAACAUCUUAUUAACUAGGAUUACGUAGGGUUUUUUUUUUUAAUGACAUGAGCAAAGCAGUUUUAAUACCAAUAAGAUUUCUGCGUCCACUUGGUUGAGCAAACAACAGAACCGUGGAUCUAGCUUGUCCUUUCUGUGGACUCCCCAUGACACUCUGAAUAUAUCACUCAUCCUUUUAUGUCUUGGAUUCUCUUCCAGUAAAAGCAAAUAAUACUUCCUAUUUGUCAAUAUCCCCUGGAGUGCCCUUGAGAAGUUUAGGACUGGGAUCCAAAUCCUAAGGAUAUUUGUAACCCUAAUAGAUGCUGACAGGGUGGCUUCCUGGCUCACAGCACCCCCAAAUCAGCCCCCCCCCCUUUUUUUGUCUUUUUGCCUUUUCUAGGGCCACUUCCCAUAGCAUAUGGAGGUUUCCAGGCUAGGGGUCAAAUCUGAGCUGUAGCCACCGGCCCACACCACAGCCACAACAACGCGGGAUCUAAGCUGCGUCUGCGACCUACACCACAGCUCAGGGCAAUGCUGGAUCCUUAACCCACUGAGCGAGGCCAGGGAUUGAACCCUCAUCCUCAUGGUUCCUAGUCGGAUUCAUUAACCACUGCGCCACGACGGGAACUCCCAAAUCAGCCCCUUUGAUGCAGAAAGUUUGUGAUAGAAAAUGGUCCUAUCUGGACUGCAGGAGCCUAGUCCCUUUGCCCUCAGCUGAUUAGUACAGGGAUAGUCCCUUCAUUCCAACUGGGCUAAUCAAAUUCUUCUCCCAGGACACCAAGUGGAAAGACAGAAAGGCACUCAAAGAUUGGAAAUUGUCAAUCUAGAGAGUCGUGAGAUACUUUUAAUUAAAGUUGUGAAAUAACAGAAGUUCCCAUGUGGCUCAGCCAGUUAAGGACCUGGCAUUGGCAGUGCUGUGGAUUGGGUCUCUGCUGUGGCCUGGGUCUCUGCUGUGGCCUGGAUUUGAUCUCUAGCCCGGAAACUUCUGCGUGCCUCAGGCACAGCCAUAGAUAAAUUAAACUGUGAAAUAAUAAAAUAGAUAACAAGGCAAUAUUCUCAGCCCCUCCCCUCACACAUUGGCGUGGCUCCCUCCCAGAGCCUAUAGUCAUCCCAGCUGGGGCCUGCUGUGCAGGACAGGAACCCAUCCCUCAUCCUUUGGGGAUGUCCAUUCUACAGCCUUCCAUCCCACAUAGGGUCAACGAGACACUGCCAAGACUCCUGCCUAUGCAGUAACCCAGGAGCCCCACGGCUGGGCCCUGGUUCCAGUAGGUGGCCUGGUGUGGUAGUUCCUCUUGCUGUCUGGCAUAGCCUCUCUUUUGUGGAAUUGUAGGAGAUAGGGCUGCCAGGAUGGCGCUGACAGACCGAUUUGGGAGCCCUACACACCCUAUUGGUCCCUGUCAGAGAGCAUUACUAGCGGUAAACUUAUAUAAAUAUAGUUUAUAUAAAUCAUAUAAAAGAAUAUAAUUUAUGUUAUAUAAAUAUAUAAAUAUCAUUUAUACAAAUGUCAUUAUUUAAAUAAAUACAUUUAUAUAUGUAAUAAUUCCAGAGAUGUUUAUGUGAAUAUGUUUGUUAUAAAUUUAUAUUUUUAUAUUUUGGCAUAUAGUAAAUUUCUUAUUGUGGGUCAUAAUAAAAAACAUGCCCUUGCUGAACUACCACCUUCACCUGAAAAUAGAUUAAUAUCUAUAGAACCAGGGUUGGUAAGUGGCAAUAUCAGCACAUGAUACAACAUGAAGUUUAUCACCAGCAAAACAACUUAGAAACAAAGGUGAAGCAUAUAUAGAAAGAUGUUUAUAAUUCUACUCACACCAUUUCAUUCACAGUCUAUUGGUCAUGAGUCCAAUAAACAAAAUAUAUACAGUCACUCCUUUGUACCUGGGAAGAGCCAGACCCUCUAAGCUCAAAAUCGACAAAUUGUAAAUGGGGACAGGUUGCACAGACUUUGGCUUGCAACUGCAUCUCUUAAACACAGCCAAACAGUGAUCACCCUAGGGCCUGUUCAGACACCUAAGUCUAUCAUUAAUGCAAAAAUCUCAAAGUUUGACCUUCACGCCGUGGCCUCUCUCACAUCUACCAUUCUGCCUGGCUUUUUAAAUUCUGUCAUGUUAUUGAUCAAUAAUUGAAUAUAAAAUCCUGUAACUGAAUCAUUUCCAUUAAAUCUUUUCAUUCCUUAUGGAGGAUAAAAUUGGUCAAAGUAAGGAAAAAGAUGAAAUUUUCAACCAAUUUUACAUUUACGUGCCUCCCAGUAAUGUCAAGUCUAUUUUUAAAUCUCCUUAAUCCACUCAGUAGGUUGUGUUACAAGUCAACAUGUUAGCCCUGUCAUCACCUGGUCAAGCCUGAAAGAAUCAAGCGCUAUGACUCAGGGCUAAAAGGAAAGUUUUAAUGCAUGAAAAGCUGUCAACUACCUCAUGAUUUCUGCUAGUUUAUGGGUGCUCAUUAUAACAGCAUUCGCCCCUCUUAAAAAUCCAUCCGCGACUUACUGUCAGAUGUGUUCCUUCAAUUAAAGGUUAUUCUUCC